UCGGCGAAGGCCACCACGGAGGCAUAUUAGCGUCUGGGGUUGCGGUUGGAGGAAGUUUCCGGGGUUGUGGGGAGGAACAUACGUGUACGCGCUGUAUGUCUGUGCCACCAUGGAGCAGGGCGUGGGUGGCGAGCGUAUCUGUCCCCGAGGCAUGUAGGCGUGGGCAUCUGCACGGUGAGUCUGGGAGGAGGUGGUCUCUGGCGGUGGAGGAAGUGUCUGUCUGUCUGUCUGUCUGGGUUGGGGGCUGUGCCUGCCAGCAGCCUUUGCCUCCGGCCCUGCGGGCUGUGCAAGCGCAGGUCUGCGUCCGAGGCCAGCUUACACCCUCCAUCCAUCUCCCUCCACGGGGCCACAGAGAAACCCAAGUGAGCGAGCACGGGUGGCUGCGGUUGGGGGUGGUGUCACAUCCCAGGGGUCCCUAGGGGACAGAGAAGCUCAUCCACUUCCUCAGGGCCUGGCAGCCCCUGCCCUCCUCCCUCACGGUGGCCCACCCGCCACACGCAGCCCCGCCGGAGAGGAGGGGCGCCAGGAGCACGGGCUCCCGCCACAGCCAGGCAGGGGGCAGCCGCAGCGCACCCUAGAGAAGGUGCCUCUGUCCCCACGUAGAAGCGCCUCCCACCGACAGCCCCGGCGGGACUGCGAACCCCAGAAGGGACGGCCUCCCUCCUCUUUAUCCUCCAGCCUCGGUCUCCCCAGGUGUCAGAGGAGGACAAUGGUCUCUACAGAGGGGCCACUGCAUCAGCCUCCCCAAGGCAGUCCCCCACCCCCUGCCUAGAGCCCCUCAAGGAGAUGAGAACCUGUAAUCCAGCCCCGGAGGUGGCAGCUGGCAGGGUGAUGGGACCGUCCCUCAGCAUGGGCAGCAGAAGAGGGCUCAGUUGGGGGAGUCUAGCCUCCCAAACAUGGCUGCUUCUCCUGGGAUUACCCCUGUGAUUAGGGGUCCCUGGGGGCAAACCCCCCCAUGUGAUCAGGCUCCCGGGUGCCUGCAUUGCCAGGAGGGAGGCAGCUCCAGGGUCAAUUCUGAAUUCUGGGGGGUAGUUCUGGUCCCAGGAGGUACUGCCUUCCUCCAGCACUGCCCAUCUAUAAAGGGCAUUUGUGCCCAGGCAACACCCGCCCACCUGGGGCUGGGGGGCCGGGCUGCUGCGAACACAGUGUGGCAGUGAAAGUGGGACAAACGCGCCUGUGUGCACCCUGGCUGAGGUGCCGGAGGAAGCGCGGUUGGGGCCGAAGUGUUAAUGGGCCUCCUUCCUGCCCUGCCGUGCCAGCUCCGCAGUGCUCAUCCCUUCUCCCCUGAAAUGCUCGCUUCCUCUCGGUCCCAGCACACUCCCUCCACGUCCCUGGCCACAGAUCUGUCCUGCUUUGACAAACAUCCCGCUCAGCCUUCGGGUUUAUGGCUUUUCCGUGUGCCUUCCUUCAUGUGGUUGGGAACCAACGCUCUGGUCCUGGGAGCGGAGGCUGGGCCUGGGGUGGAGCAGGCUGGGGCUGGGAAUGGGGGCUGGGCCUGCGGGGCUCCCCAAGCAACAGGGAGAGGAGACUGGAAUCCUGCUGUCCCGGAAACAAGGCCCCACCAGGGAACAACACAGGAGGGACACCCUUGGUGUGGCUGGCUCCCUGUGCUGAUGGGGACAGGCCAGGGAAGGGGUCCACAGGGACCGGCUGCACGAGCCAGGAGGGCUCCUCGGAAAAGACUGCGCUUGAAGGAUGGAGAAGGCAAAGGAGACUAUUCCAGAAGGGGACAGUGCCGGCCCACAUGAUGGCAAGAGCAACUGCAAGGAGGGAAGCCAGGGUACUCACGGGUUUGUUUUUAUUCUUGUUUUAUUAAGCAACAACUGUGUCCUGGGCUAAGCAAGUCUCAUGAAUUCAUUAUCUCAUUAAUUUUCACAAAACUCACAAGUACCAUCGACCCCAUUUUACAGGUGACAUUACUGGGGCCCAGAGAGGUAAAGUGUCGUGGUGGGGUCACAGGGGUGGUUGAUGGCCGGGCAAGGAUGGAUGCCCAACAGGCAGCCGAGGCAGUGCCCAAGUGCAUGCUUAGCAGUCAGUCACUGUUGGGCUUUUGUAUUGGGGCUUUUUACUGCCCACUCAGUGUCCCCGAGUCCCUGGAUCAGCCCCCAGAAGGCUGCCAAUUCUGAUCCAGGAAUUCGAGGGCUGUCUGUGCCCUCAGAGACUCUGGGGCACACUGGGAGCCUCCAGCCACUUCAGAAUCAGCAUCGUGUACAAGCUGAUGUGUCCCAACGUUAGAGGACAAUUUUUUAAAUGUAUUAAUACUUAGAGGUUGUUAAAUAAAAGACACAUUCAUUUACAAGCAUUA